GAUGAACGCUGGCGGCGUGCCUAAUACAUGCAAGUCGAGCGGACGGACGAGAAGCUUGCUGUUCUGUUGUUAGCGGCGGACGGGUGAGUAACACGUGUAUAACCUACCUAUAAUACUGGUAUAACUUCGGGAAACCGGAGCUAAUACCGGAUAAUAUUUUGAACCGCAUGGUUCAAAAGUGAAAUACGGUCUUGCUGGCGGUUAUAGAUGGAUCCGCGCUGCAUUAGCUAGUUGUUGAGGUAGCGGCUUACCAAGGCGACGACGGGUAGCCGGCCUGAGAGGGGGACAGGCCAAAGUGGGACUGAGAUACGGCCCAGACUGCUACGGGAGGCAGCAGUGGGGAAUAUUGCACAAUGGGCGGAAGCCUGAUGCAGCAACGCCGCGUGCGGGAUAACGGCCUUCGGGUUGUAAACCGCUUUCGCCUGUGACGAAGCGUGAGUGACGGUAAUGGGUAAAGAAGCACCGGCUAACUACGUG
rnacentral:rRNA from 1 species